rnacentral:piRNA from 1 species
UGAACCGUGAUCUAGUAAACGCUGGUA